CUACGAAAGGUGCAAGCGUUGUUCGGAUUUACUGGGCGUAAAGAGAGUGUAGGUGGUUUAUUAAGUCGGAUGUGAAAUCCCGGGGCUGAACCUCGGAACUGCAUUCGAUACUGAUAGGCUAGAGUUUGGGAGGGGUAAGCGGAAUUCCGUGUGUAGCAGUGAAAUGCGUAGAUAUACGGAGGAACACCUGGGGCGAAGGCGGCUUACUGGACCAAUACUGACACUGAGACUCGAAAGCGUGGGUAGCAAACAGGAUUAGAUACCCUUGUAGUCC
rnacentral:rRNA from 1 species